rnacentral:rRNA from 1 species
AGACCUUUAGUUUGAACCCCGAAACCAGGUGAGCUACCCCGAGACAGCCUAUAUUGAUUUAGGGCUAACCCGUCUCUGUGGCAAAAGAGUGGGAAGAGCUCCGGGUAGAAGUGACAGACCUACCGAACCUGGUGAUAGCUGGUUGCCUGAGAAGUGGAUAGAAGUUCAGCCUCGCACACCCCAAGCCAGAGAAUACACCGCUAAGGCACUCAGGGAAAUGUGGGAGAGUUAGUUAAAGGGGGUACAGCCCCUUUAACAAAGGAUACAACCUUUGCAGGAGGAUAAAGAUCAUAAUAUAUAUAACAUGCUGCUCUAGUGGGGCUAAAGGCAGCCACCUAAACAGAAAGCGUUAAAGCUCAGGCAGAAAGAAGUUUAUUAUACCGAUAAAAAAUCUUACUCCCCUAAUUAUAUCAGGCCUACCCAUGCCAACAUGGAAGAGAUUAUGCUAAAAUGAGUAACAAGAAGACCUGCUCUUCUCCCAGCACAAGUGUAAGCCAGAUCGGACUAGCCGCUGGAACUUAACGAACCCAACCCAAGAGGGUAGUGUGAAUAGUACAGACCCCAAGAAGAACUCACAACUAAACAAUCGUUAACCCCACACUGGAGUGCUAUUAUAAAGGAAAGACUAAAAGAGGGGGAAGGAACUCGGCAAACACAAGCCUCGCCUGUUUACCAAAAACAUCGCCUCCUGCAACUAUAUUGAGUAUAGGAGGUCCAGCCUGCCCAGUGACUACGGGUUCAACGGCCGCGGUAUUUUGACCGUGCAAAGGUAGCGCAAUCACUUGUCUCUUAAAUAGAGACCUGUAUGAAUGGCUAGACGAGGGCUUAACUGUCUCCCCCCUCCAGUCAGUGAAAUUGAUCUAUCCGUGCAGAAGCGGGUAUAAUUAUACAAGACGAGAAGACCCUUUGGAGCUUAAGGUACAAAAUCCAACCACGUUAAACGACCCCCUAAAGGGCAAGAACUUAGUGGCCAAUGAAGUUUUACCUUCGGUUGGGGCGACCACGGAGGAGAAAAAAGCCUCCGAGUGGACUGGGUUAAAACCCAAAGCUAAGAGAUACAUCUCUAAGCCGCAGAACAUCUGACCAAAAGUGAUCCGGCUAAAAAGCCGAUCAACGAACCAAGUUACCCUAGGGAUAACAGCGCAAUCCUCUCCCAGAGUCCAUAUCGACGAGGGGGUUUACGACCUCGAUGUUGGAUCAGGACAUCCUAAUGGUGCAGCCGCUAUUAAGGGU